UACGAAGGGGGCUAGCGUUGUUCGGAAUUACUGGGCGUAAAGCGUGCGCAGGCGGCCGUCCAAGUCAGGGGUGAAAGCCCAGAGCUCAACUCUGGAAUUGCCUUUGAAACUGUUCGGCUUGAGUGCGGGAGAGGUGAGUGGAAUUCCCAGUGUAGAGGUGAAAUUCGUAGAUAUUGGGAAGAACACCGGUGGCGAAGGCGGCUCACUGGCCCGUUUCUGACGCUCAUGCACGACAGCGUGGGGAUCAAACAGG
rnacentral:rRNA from 1 species